UAGGCAAACGUGUAAUCCAUUCUGAUCUGACUGAGAAAAAACUGAUGGAAGUCAAGAAAGUCUUGGACAUUGAUGCCAUGGAUUUGGAUAUUAAUGAAUCACAUAACAAGUCCAACCACAUUGAAUUUCAGAAAAUGGGGACAUGUCCACUUGUGGAAUGCUCCACUCCAUUGGAUCAGAUCUCACACACACGUGGGGCAAAUCUGAAACACAUCAAAAUGGCUCUAUAAGAAGCAAGCAAAAUGGUUUGAGGGCAAGGGAUUAUGGAAAUACCCCCACAAGCAGAGCUGAGGUUAGUCUCUCU